UCAGCAGCCGCGGUAAUACGGAGGGUGCAAGCGUUAUCCGGAUUUACUGGGUUUAAAGGGUGCGUAGGUGGGCAGGUAAGUCAGCGGUGAAAUCUUCGAGCUUAACUCGGAAACUGCCAUUGAUACUAUCUGUCUUGAAUAUUCUGGAGGUGAGCGGAAUAUGUCAUGUAGCGGUGAAAUGCUUAGAUAUGACAUAGAACACCAAUUGCGAAGGCAGCUCACUACGGGAUUAUUGACACUGAGGCACGAAAGCGUGGGGAUCAAACAGGAUUAGAUACCCUGGUAGUCCACGCCCUAAACGAUGGAUACUCGACAUCAGCGAUAUACUGUUGGUGUCUGAGCGAAAGCAUUAAGUAUCCCACCUGGGAAGUACGAUCGCAAGAUUGAAACUCAAAGGAAUUGACGG
rnacentral:rRNA from 1 species